GACUCUCGGCAACGGAUAUCUCGGCUCUCGCAUCGAUGAAGAACGUAGCGAAAUGCGAUACUUGGUGUGAAUUGCAGAAUCCCGUGAACCAUCGAGUCUUUGAACGCAAGUUGCGCCCGAAGCCGUCGGGCCGAGGGCACGUCUGCCUGGGUGUCACGC
rnacentral:rRNA from 1 species